GACGAACGCUGGCGGCGUGCCUAAUACAUGCAAGUCGAGCGAACGGACCAGGAGCUUGCUCCUCUGAUGUUGUCGGCGGACGGGUGCGUACCACGUGGUUAACCUACCUCUAAGACUGGGAUGACUUCGGCAAACCGGGGCUCAUACCGGAGGAUAUUUGGCACCGCAUGGUUCAAUGGUGAAAUACGGUAUUUCUUUGACUUAUAGCUGAAUCCGCGCUGCAUUAGCUAGUUGGUAAGGUGACGGCUUACCAAGGCAACGACGCAUAGCCGACCUGAGAGGGGGAAAGGCAGCACUGGAACGGGAGGACGGUCCCAACUCCUACGAGAGGGAGCAGGAGGGAAUCGUGCGCAAUGGGGGAAAGCGUGACGGGGCAACGCCGGGCGAGUGAUGAAUGCAUUCGGUUCGUAAAACUCAGUUAGUAGGGAAGAUCAUAUGUAUAAUGAACUGGGCACAACCUGACGGUACCCAGUAAGAAAGCCACGGCUUACUACGGG
rnacentral:rRNA from 1 species